UUUUACAAUUCUUAAGUCUUUGACUGCCAACAGAAAACUGUUGAAGGCAAAUCCUCCGCGAACUUCGGUCACCGGUGACCACUACGGCAUUCAAUGUGUUAAUUGUAAAGUCUGUCAAUAUUUUAUAUAGAAUUUUCGACUUUGUAUUAAUAAAAAAAUAAAAUUAAAAAUACAAUGAAUAAAAAAGGUAAUUUAAAAAACUAAAAAACCCGACUGCGUUUCUCUAUAAUAUGAAAAUGAAAAAACCCUGAAACAAGAAAGUCAUUGUACCCGAUUGAAGCAGUCGGGACGCAUUCUAAAUAUGAAGACUUAGUGAGGCUUUCUAGAAUGGGUAUACAUACCUACAUACAUACAUACUUUGAAUAACCCUUCUUCUGGCGCAGUCGGGUAAAAAGUUGGUAGUAUUUUUUUUAUUUUAUACGAGUUGCUAGUAAAAUAUUAUCGUCAAUUGUUAUUUUAUACUAACUACUACCAGCGGGUUCGCCUGCUUUUCUAGAGUAUAUUACAUAUUAAUCUAUUCCUGAAUAUAAUAUUCAGUUUCAUUCGUUAGCCUUUGCGUGAAAGAGUUAGCUACUUAUAUACAUAUAUAGAUCCUAAAACCUUUCGCAUAUAUAACAUUAAUAGGAUAGGAUAAGUGCGAAAGUCUUUCAUUCCCGUUAAACGAUGGGAGGAUAGAGAGUGAUAUAGAUUGCCUACAUUUUCCCUUUAAACUAGAAAAAGCUAGUAACUUAGGUAAUCUAAGAUUUAGAUUCUAAGCACAUAAGUCUAACGCAGGCUACACUCCUUUCGAUUUUACUGUACAGUCGAACUUUACAAUUAAAACUGCACAAUUGAAAUCGGAAGGUGUUGCGUGUUAAAGACAGUUUCAUGAUUUAAUUACUCAAUUUUCAGUUAGAUAGGUACUCCGUGACUGAAUCUCUAGCCAUUGUUCUGCCGCCGUAAGUGCGGGCCUGCGGUCGGCGAGCAAGGGUAGCUCGCCGCCCGACCAGAACUAGACCCGUGCGGCGCGUCGCGUUCUGCGUGCGCCUCAAAGAGUCACCAGACCACCACAGAUGGGGCCCAGUAGGGCUGAUGCUUGAGCCGGAGCUGCGGACUACCUAGCGGGUUUACCGGGGCUCCAGCUCGAAAAGCAGGAGUAGGAACGGUGUUUUUUUGUCAGUAAGAGUCUGACACUCCCUCUCGCCUCGCCCAAGGCGGUAGAAGUCAUUGGAUGAUUUUCCCCUUCAACAAAAAAAGCUAUUGUUCUAGUUUACGCUAUCCACCGAUGAAAAACAAAGAUUACGUAGAUUAAAUCUAUAUCAUAUCUAAUACCGAUAAUACCGACCCCACGUACAUCAGACACUUGACAAUACAAAACAAAUAAGAUGAUAUAAUCUUUAUUCUGCACGUAAUUGAUGUACUUGAAGUUUAGUCGUAUACAAGUGGUUCUUUAGUUGAUACUUUUUUUAGAAUUUUAUGGUAAUUGAUAGAGAAUACAUCGAAUCAAUAAAAAGCCCGUUUGCGGCGUCUUAAUAAAAAACUACGUGAGAUAAAUAUUACAUGGAUCUUAAUUAUGAUGCAUAUUAUCGGCUUACUCACGUAACUGUUUGACGAGGAACUUGACUAGGCGACACACGACGCGGUGAUUGCCGCGCUGCUACUGCCGCGUCGUGUGUCACGGAAUGCUGCUCAUGAAUAUGAGCCUCUAGCAUAGCUUGAAACUAGUCGAGUUCUUCGUCAAACAAUUACGUGAGUAAGCCGAUAACAUAAUUAUUAAUUUAGUGUCUCACGAAAAGUUUCGUUUGUAUGUGGCAGGCUGUUGAUCUCUGUCAAUCUAUAUCUUAUUUCUUAUUCUCCAUCUAUGAGAUACAUACACAGCUACGUAAAUGAUAAAGUUUGUUUUUGUUAUUUCAGUGUAAGAUAAACAACAUUUAUCUUGUAUCUAAGUCUUUUUAUAUUUUUUUAAUGGAUAUUGUAAAAGGUGGAACGCUGAAUAGGGAUGAUGACAGGGUAUGAAAAUUAACAAUCUAAUUAGUUAGUCCUUCAGGUAAUGAAAACAUUAGACGUAUUUGUUUAAUCAUAUUAGAUAACAAUACAUAGAUAAAACGAAUUAAGGUUUAGAAGUGGGAACAAAUACGUCAUUUCUACGUAUAAAACGUACCUAGAAGUGACGUCACGCGAUAUUUCAAAUCGAUAUAUUUUCGAAAGUAUUUGUUAUCAUAAAAAAAUACAUUUCUAAUGUUUUCAAAUAAUCUACAAGACAGACAUUAAAAUAAAAAUUAGUCAUCUAUUCAAUAAAAUUCAAAUCCUUCAUUAGGGUAAACUUACUUAAUUCGUACCUGCGCCUAAAUCGUACCUCGUCUAUAUCUCGCAUCGGGUAAUAGUUACCAGCACCUCUGGUGGCAUAAAAUGUCAAUAAUAGUCGGCCAUAUUGCCAUGUGACAAAUAAACACCUGUUAUGUUGCUCCCGACUAAAAUAUUGAACAGGGCAACAUGAACAUCAUCAACAUUUUAGCUCGAAAUAAAAAUAGAAGAAACCAAGAAGAAGACCAUAUCAAAGAAGCUAAAUUUAAAGAAAACGAAAACACCUCAAAAAGGAAACAAGAAAAAGAAACAAGAACAAGAUGAAAAUGAUAGUUGGUAUUGCAAAAUAUGUCAAGAAGACGUAAAAGAAAACAUGAUUAAAUGCAGUAAUUGUGAAGUAUGGGCACAUGAGCUUUGUGCAGGAACAACUAAAAAAACACAAUGUUAUUAUUGCGAUAGCUGUCAGGAUUUGGCAAAGACCAUCCGCUGUAUUAAUAAGAAUUAAUUUAGGUACAUUAAGAUUAAGAAAAAGAGGAGAAGAUUAUUAAGAUUGUGAUUUUUAAGACUGUAAACCAAUGAUAGGAUCUCAAAGUAAGAUUUAAGAAUAUACUAGUACGAUUUAAGAUGAAUGGUCUUAAAUCGUACUUUUUUUAAGUUUUUGAAAAUUGUUUAUUUCUCAGAAGUUUACAAGAUUUAUGUUAUUUUUUGUUGAAAUACUAAUAGAACAUUAGUGAAAUUAUAAUUACUUAAUAUAAAUAACUGUGUAUCAUUGUUCAUUUCCAAAAUUUUUGAGGUUCUCCUUAAGUGGUACGAAUUGGGCAAGUUUACCCUACAUUCCACAAUGAGUGGCUUAGAUGGUAACUUAAGCUAGAGAGCUAGCUACAAAUUAUUGUGGACCCUGUCGGGCACAGCAAGGGAAUAUGCAAUUUUUAUACAAAUAAAAGGAAUGUCAAAUCAUUAAAUUAAAUCUAAUUGGGUACUAUCCUCGGUCAAAAAUAAAUUAUUACAACUUUUCAAUACAAUAAAAUAUUAAAAAAUAAUCACACUCUCAUUCAUAAAUUUGAUGAACUAUUUAAUUUUCGAUUUUUUUCUAGCUAAAUUUCUAGAAAUAAGUCUGCUAUUUGACGUCAAAAACUUAUGACGUCAUAACGCACUAUUUCAUACAAAGUUCAUAGAAAAUAUCGUUUUUGACGUUUCGAAAAAAGUAUUGAAUUUGACUAGUAGGAAAGUAGCCUAUU